rnacentral:rRNA from 1 species
GACGAACGCUGGCGGCGCGCCUAACACAUGCAAGUCGAACGAGCGAGAGAGAGCUUGCUUUCUCGAGCGAGUGGCGAACGGGUGAGUAACGCGUGAGGAACCUGCCUCAAAGAGGGGGACAACAGUUGGAAACGACUGCUAAUACCGCAUAAGCCCACAGGUCGGCAUCGACCAGAGGGAAAAGGAGUGAUCCGCUUUGAGAUGGCCUCGCGUCCGAUUAGCUGGUUGGUGAGGUAACGGCCCACCAAGGCAACGAUCGGUAGCCGGACUGAGAGGUUGAACGGCCACAUUGGGACUGAGACACGGCCCAG